GAAGAUAUAUCUUCACAAGGCGAUAUGAGUUUUGCAAUGAAGAGAUCUUGCCGGUCUGUGUGCUUUCUUGCAAUAUUCAGUAUGCUAGUUUUUGUAUGGAGCAUCAGAGGUACGUAUAUUAAUAAAAUUAAUAUUCCUUCCCUUAGUUACUCUGAGAUAAUCAAUUAUGACUCCGUUGUACUGUGUAUAUAUUCCGUAAAAUAUAUUACUAUAUAUACGUGUUUUGUGAAUGAACAUAGAAUAUACUGUAGGUGAUUUUGGUUGUAUAUAUAAAAUCUUUGGGUAUGUACAUGUAUAUAUAUAUAUAUAUAUAUAUAUAUAUAUUGUAGGUGAUGAGAUGGAGUCAGUGGAUGGAGAAAUCGGUGUAGCAUCAAGAUCAAUGAAACACACAUUCAGGAAACUCAUGGAAAUGCCAAAACCACCACCAUCAAGAACUCCCAGACCCCCACCACCAGGUCCAGAGCCUCCUAAGCCACCAAGGCCCUAGCUAACAUUAUCAUGCUGGGAAUAAAUUGUUUAGAAAUUUUUAUCAAAUAAAUUUGUAAUUAAUUAUAAAAUAAAAGACUAGGUCUUAUAUUGGUAGCUGGAA
rnacentral:lncRNA from 1 species